rnacentral:rRNA from 1 species
CCCUUAGACGUUCUGGGCCGCACGCGCGCUACACUGACCAGUGCAACAAGCAUCCGUCCUUGGCCGACAGGCCCGGGCAAUCUUUGAACGCUGGUCGUGAUGGGGAUAGACUUUUGCAAUUUUUGGUCUUCAACGAGGAAUUCCUAGUAAACGCAAGUCAUCAACUUGCAUUGAUUACGUCCCUGCCCUUUGUACACACCGCCCGUCGCACCUACCGAUUGAACGUUCCGGUGAGACCUUGGGAUUUGGUCUUUGAUACUUUAUUGUGUCGUUGACCGAAAAACUUGAGCAAACCUUAACGUUUAGAGGAAGGUGAAGUCGUAACA